UAAUGUUUAUUCUCUUCUUGCAAACAGAUUAGACAAGGAAGGCUCCAAGGUGUUGGUCAAUGCCUUGUUCGUGAGUAUAGAAUGGUUUGUCAUGUCGUGCAAGGAAAACUCAGCAGGGAUUUCUUUGAGGGCUGCAGAGCUAUACUGUGGGAUAAGGAUAAGAACCCAAAGUGGGAACCCUCUAAAAUUGGAGUUUGUUAGUGACCGUAUUGUUGACUCAUACUUCUCUAAAGUGGAUGAUGAAGGCUGGGAAGAUCUAAAGUUUUCUACAAGAUCUAAUUUGCAUGUAUAUGCCAUUGCAAAGCUUUAAUGCAUGAAGGUGAAAAAUGGGGAAAUAGAUGUACUUUGUGAAUCAUAAUAAAAUGGAUAUCAACCUAAUGUGUAGAGACAUUUAUUUGACAACAAUAAUAAUCUCAUUAACUUUGUCCUUUUGGCCAA